CUUGCCACAGCCAGCCUCGUGAGUGCCUAGCCUAUUGGAUAUCACUGUCAUCUACACAGGACAGUCAUAACCUUUCUAUUAAUACUUUGUUUUUUAAUUUCACAUUAAUUUCCAUAUUGUAUAAAUGACUGAAAAAAAACUUGAGCCCCUGCCCCUGUAUAAUCAUGUGCACGUCCCUGUUCUAGCUCCAAGGUGAAUCUUCACUGCUCAUGUUCUCCUCAGAAAUAGUCACCUCACUCCCCUCAGGUUACUGUACACAUGCACCAACUAUCUGCUUCAGGUUUGGAUGGAGCUUCAUGGUUGUCUUUUGGAGAAAUGAACAGUCAAGUUGUGUUUGAAAUUUGAUUUUUUUCAGGGGCAAAAGGAAGCCUCUGCAUUCUUGUCAAAUAUGUAAACAGCAUGUUUUUGCAGGUGCUAAAAAACAGACUCUGAGUGUGUGUGUGUGUGUGUGUGUGUGUGUGUUGGCAUGUGUGUAUAUGUGUGUGUAUCCUGCAGUACUCUGUACUCCUGCAGUGGCCAAAACGACUUUUAAGAAUGUGGAUAUUUGGGUCAUCUUUGGCGCCCCCUAGAACUGCAGUACUCUGUACUCCUGCAGUGGCCAAAAUGACUUUUAAGAAUGUGGAUUUUUGGGUCAUCUUUGGCGCCCCCUAGAACUGCAGUACUCUGUACUCCUGCAGUGGCCAAAAUGACUUUUAAGAAUGUGGAUUUUUGGGUCAUCUUUGGCGCCCCCUAGAACGUAAACCGUGGGGUGCAGCGUCAUGAUUUUUACAACUUUGAAUGGGCAUGGGGUGUAGAUUGCCCUGAGCAAAUUUGGUAUCAGUGGGACGAAAGCCUUAGGAGGAGAUAGCCACAUUCCAAUGUGUGCGAAUCGGCAAAAAAUGCAAAAUAGCCCUUUAACCGUACAUUAUACAGAUACGCGCUCUUUGACUUUUUCGUAGAGCUAAUUGAGAUACACAUGAUUGUCAAUUUUUGUGUCAAUAUGACAAAGCGUUCAGGCGUGACACUCAACAAUGUGUUUUUUCACCUUAUGGGACAAGAAAAAAUGGACUUUUUUCUCCUGCCAUGGGGGGGCGCUCUUUUGGGGAGUAAAAAUUCCUUCACAAAUGUGUUGAUGGCUGGACAUUGCAUCAUCCUAGAGAACUUGGAGGCCAGUGAGGACAAAAAUAAAAAGUUAUAAGACUUUGAAAUAUGUGGAUUUUAGGGUUAUCUUUGGCGCCCCCUAGAACCUAAACUGUGGGGUGCAGCGUCAUGAUUUGAAUAACUUUUAAUGGCCAUGGGGUGUAGAUUGGCCUGAGCAAAUGUGGUGCCGGUGGAACGCCAGCCUUAGGAGGAGUUAGCGAAAUUCCAAUGUGUGCGGAUCAGCAAAAAAUGCGGAAUAACCCUUUAACCGUACAUUUUACAGAUACGCGCGCAUUGACUUUUUCGUAGAUCUUAUUGAGAUACAUGUGUGUGUCAAAUUUUGUGUCAAUAUGACAAAGCGUACAGGCGUGACACUCAACAAUGUGUAUUUUCACCUUAGGGGACAAGAAAAAAUGGACUUUUUUCUCCUGCCAUGGGGGGGCGCUCUUUUGGGGAUUAAAAAUUCCUUCACAAAUGUGUUGAUGGCUGGACAUUGCAUCAUCCUAGAAAACUUGGAGGCCAGUGAGGGCAAAAAUAAAAAGUUAUAAGACUUUUAAAUAUGUGGAUUUUAGGGUUAUCUUUGGCGCCCCCUAGAACCUAAACCGUGGGGUGCAGCGUCAUGAUUUGAAUAACUUUUAAUGGCCAUGGGGUGUAGAUUGGCCUGAGCAAAUGUGGUGCCGGUGGAACAAAAGCCUUCGGAGGAGUUAGCGAAAUUCCAAUGUGUGCGGAUCGGCAAAAAAUGCGAAAUAACCCUUUAACCGUACAUUUGACAGAUACGCCCGCACUGACUUUUUUGUAGAUCUUAUUGAGAUACAUGUGUGUGUCAAUUUUUGUGUCAUUUUGACAAAGCGUACAGGCGUGACAGUGAAUAGUGUGAAUUUUCACCUUAGGGGGCGCUAUGGAGCCAUUUUGCAUUUUCUUGUUUGGGCGACUUCGGAAUAUCAAAUUUUUCACCAGGCCCGGUCGUCCUGCCAAAUUUCAUGAGUUUUCGCCAGUGGGAAGUGGGCCAUUUUCCAGUUCAAAGGGGAGGAAAAAGAAACUAGGGCCCCGUUGGGGCACUGGCGGGCCCGAGCCGUGUCGCGCUGCCCCCCCCAACACGCUGCCUCCCCGUCCCAUUCGCGUCCUCUGGCCAUCGUCCUCUCUGGUAACGCCCAUCACUGCAAAGACCCUUUCCUUCAUCGGCGUUUGCUGUUCUUCCUGCCAGUGCGUGUUGCUUUCACUUACACUUGCCACAGCCAGCCUCGUGAGUGCCUAGCCUAUUGGAUAUCACUGUCAUCUACACAGGACAGUCAUAACCUUUCUAUUAAUACUUUGUUUUUUAAUUUCACAUUAAUUUCCAUAUUGUAUAAAUGACUGAAAAAAACUUGAGCCCCUGCCCCUGUAUAAUCAUGUGCACGUCCCUGUUCUAGCUCCAAGGUGAAUCUUCACUGCUCAUGUUCUCCUCAGAAAUAGUCACCUCACUCCCCUCAGGUUACUGUACACAUGCACCAACUAUCUGCUUCAGGUUUGGAUGGAGCUUCAUGGUUGUCUUUUGGAGAAAUGAACAGUCAAGUUGUGUUUGAAAUUUGAUUUUUUUCAGGGGCAAAAGGAAGCCUCUGCAUUCUUGUCAAAUAUGUAAACAGCAUGUUUUUGCAGGUGCUAAAAAACAGACUCUGAGUGUGUGUGUGUGUGUGUGUGUGUGUGUGUGUGUUGGCAUGUGUGUAUAUGUGUGUGUAUCCUGCAGUACUCUGUACUCCUGCAGUGGCCAAAACGACUUUUAAGAAUGUGGAUAUUUGGGUCAUCUUUGGCGCCCCCUAGAACUGCAGUACUCUGUACUCCUGCAGUGGCCAAAAUGACUUUUAAGAAUGUGGAUUUUUGGGUCAUCUUUGGCGCCCCCUAGAACUGCAGUACUCUGUACUCCUGCAGUGGCCAAAAUGACUUUUAAGAAUGUGGAUUUUUGGGUCAUCUUUGGCGCCCCCUAGAACGUAAACCGUGGGGUGCAGCGUCAUGAUUUUUACAACUUUGAAUGGGCAUGGGGUGUAGAUUGCCCUGAGCAAAUUUGGUAUCAGUGGGACGAAAGCCUUAGGAGGAGAUAGCCACAUUCCAAUGUGUGCGAAUCGGCAAAAAAUGCAAAAUAGCCCUUUAACCGUACAUUAUACAGAUACGCGCUCUUUGACUUUUUCGUAGAGCUAAUUGAGAUACACAUGAUUGUCAAUUUUUGUGUCAAUAUGACAAAGCGUUCAGGCGUGACACUCAACAAUGUGUUUUUUCACCUUAUGGGACAAGAAAAAAUGGACUUUUUUCUCCUGCCAUGGGGGGGCGCUCUUUUGGGGAGUAAAAAUUCCUUCACAAAUGUGUUGAUGGCUGGACAUUGCAUCAUCCUAGAGAACUUGGAGGCCAGUGAGGACAAAAAUAAAAAGUUAUAAGACUUUGAAAUAUGUGGAUUUUAGGGUUAUCUUUGGCGCCCCCUAGAACCUAAACUGUGGGGUGCAGCGUCAUGAUUUGAAUAACUUUUAAUGGCCAUGGGGUGUAGAUUGGCCUGAGCAAAUGUGGUGCCGGUGGAACGCCAGCCUUAGGAGGAGUUAGCGAAAUUCCAAUGUGUGCGGAUCAGCAAAAAAUGCGGAAUAACCCUUUAACCGUACAUUUUACAGAUACGCGCGCAUUGACUUUUUCGUAGAUCUUAUUGAGAUACAUGUGUGUGUCAAAUUUUGUGUCAAUAUGACAAAGCGUACAGGCGUGACACUCAACAAUGUGUAUUUUCACCUUAGGGGACAAGAAAAAAUGGACUUUUUUCUCCUGCCAUGGGGGGGCGCUCUUUUGGGGAUUAAAAAUUCCUUCACAAAUGUGUUGAUGGCUGGACAUUGCAUCAUCCUAGAAAACUUGGAGGCCAGUGAGGGCAAAAAUAAAAAGUUAUAAGACUUUUAAAUAUGUGGAUUUUAGGGUUAUCUUUGGCGCCCCCUAGAACCUAAACCGUGGGGUGCAGCGUCAUGAUUUGAAUAACUUUUAAUGGCCAUGGGGUGUAGAUUGGCCUGAGCAAAUGUGGUGCCGGUGGAACAAAAGCCUUCGGAGGAGUUAGCGAAAUUCCAAUGUGUGCGGAUCGGCAAAAAAUGCGAAAUAACCCUUUAACCGUACAUUUGACAGAUACGCCCGCACUGACUUUUUUGUAGAUCUUAUUGAGAUACAUGUGUGUGUCAAUUUUUGUGUCAUUUUGACAAAGCGUACAGGCGUGACAGUGAAUAGUGUGAAUUUUCACCUUAGGGGGCGCUAUGGAGCCAUUUUGCAUUUUCUUGUUUGGGCGACUUCGGAAUAUCAAAUUUUUCACCAGGCCCGGUCGUCCUGCCAAAUUUCAUGAGUUUUCGCCAGUGGGAAGUGGGCCAUUUUCCAGUUCAAAGGGGAGGAAAAAUAACUAGGGCCCCGGUGGGGCACUGUCGGGCCCGAGCCGCGUCGCGCCGCCCCCAGCGCGACCGCCUCCCCCUCCCGAUCGCGUCACACUCAAGGUCCAAAGAUGGUGUGCACACUUGUCUGUGGUCAUUUCCCAUUAUAAUGAAUGGGAGGCGCAGUUUCUACCAAAACACUCGCUGCAGACAAACUUCAUGUCCUAUUUGAAAAAAGUCUGGACCAUGAGUGAGGGCACAAACACAGCUAGGAUAUAUCCAAAUGGCAGGUUGCUCCUCCUUACGGUGUUGCCUGGAGAGGGAUGCGAUUGAGCCAUUGAGCGAUGGGCAGGAAAAACUUGACUUUUUCUCCUGCCAUGGGCGGGGGGGGAAUGUGGAUUCUUUUAAGAAUGUGGUUUUUUGGGUCAUCUUUGGCGCCCCCUAGAACGUAAACCGUGGGGUGCAGCGUCAUGAUUUUUACAACUUUGAAUGGCCAUGGGGUGUAGAUUGGCCUGAGCAAAUUUGGUUUCAGUGGGACGAAAGCCUUAGGAGGAGUUAGCCACAUUCCAAUGUGUGCAAAUCGGCAAAAAAUGCAAAAUAGCCCUCUAACCGUACAUUUGACAGAUACGCGUGCAUUGACUUUUUCGUAGAUCUUAUUGAGAUACACGUGAUUGUCAAAUUUUGUGUCAAUAUGACAAAGCGUACAGGUGUCACACUCAACAAUGUGAAUUUUCACCUUACGGGACAAGAAAAAAUGGACUUUUUUCUCCUGCCAUGGGGGGGCGCUCUUUUGGGGAGUAAAAAUUCCUUCACAAAUGUGUUGAUGGCUGGACAUUGCAUCAUCCUAGAAAACUUGGAGGCCAGUGAGGACAAAAAUAAAAAGUUAUAAGACUUUUAAAUAUGUGGAUUUUAGGGUUAUCUUUGGCGCCCCCUAGAACCUUAACCUUGGGGUGCAGCGUCAUGAUUUGAAUAACUUUUAAUGGCCAUGGGGUGUAGAUUGGCCUGAGCAAAUGUGGUGCCGGUGGAACGCCAGCCUUAGGAGGAGUUAGCCACAUUCCAAUGUGUGCGGAUCAGCAAAAAAUGCGGAAUAACCCUUUAACCGUACAUUUGACAGAUAUGCGCGCAUUGACUUUUUCGUAGAUCUUAUUGAGAUACAUGUGUGUGUCAAAUUUUGUGUCAAUAUGACAAAGCGUACAGGCGUGACACUCAACAAUGUGUAUUUUCACCUUAGGGGACAAGAAAAAAUGGACUUUUUUCUCCGGCCAUGGGGGGGCGCUCUUUUGGGGAGUAAAAAUUCCUUCACAAAUGUGUUGAUGGCUGGACAUUGCAUCAUCCUAGAAAACUUGGAGGCCAGUGAGGGCAAAAAUAAAAAGUUAUAAGACUUUUAAAUAUGUGGAUUUUAGGGUUAUCUUUGGCGCCCCCUAGAACCUAAACCGUGGGGUGCAGCGUCAUGAUUUGAAUAACUUUUAAUGGCCAUGGGGUGCAGAUUGGCCUGAGCAAAUGUGGUGCCGGUGGAAAGAAAGCCUUCGGAGGAGUUAGCGAAAUUCCAAUGUGUGCGGAUCGGCAAAAAAUGCGGAAUAACCCUUUAACCGUACAUUUGACAGAUACGCCCGCACUGACUUUUUUGUAGAUCUUAUUGAGAUACAUAUGUGUGUCAAUUUUUGUGUCAUUUUGACAAAGCGUAAAGGCGUGACAGUCAAUAGUGUGAAUUUUCACCUUAGGGGGCGCUAUGGAGCCAUUUUGCAUUUUCUUGUUUGGGCGACUUCGGAAUAUCAAAUUUUUCACCAGGCCCGGUCAUCCUGCCAAAUUUCAUGAGUUUUCGCCAGUGGGAAGUGGGCCAUUUUCCAGUUCAAAGGGGAGGAAAAAGAAGAAAGAAAGAAAGAACUAGGACCCCGUUGGGGCACUGGCGGGCCCGAGCCGUGUCGCGCCCCCCCCCCCCCCAACGUGCUGCCUCCCCGUCCCAUUUGUGUCCUCUGGCCAUCGCCCUCUCUGGUAACGCCCAUCACUGCAAAGACCCUUUUCCUUCAUCGGCGUUUGCUGUUCUUCCUGCCAGUGCGUGUUGCUUUCACUUACACUUGCCACAGCCAGCCUCGUGAGUGCCUAGCCUAUUGGAUAUCACUGUCACCUACACAGGACAGUCAUUACCUUUCUAUUAAUACUUUGUGUUUUAAUUUCACAUUAAUUUCCAUAUUGUAUAAACGACUGGAAAAAACUUGAGCCCCUGCCCCUGUAUAAUCAUGUGCAUGUCUCUGUUCUAGCUCCAAGGUGAAUCUUCACUGCUCAUGUUCUCCUCAGAAGCACUCACCUCACUCCCCUCAGGUUACUGUACACAUGCACCAACUGCCUGCUUCAGGUUUGGAUGGAGCUUCAUGGUUGUCUUUUGGAGAAAUGACCAGUCAAGUUGUGUUUGAAAUUUGAUUUUUUUCAGGGCAAAAGGAGCCUCUGCAUUCUUGUCAAAUAUGUAAAUAGCAUGUUUUUGCAGGUGCUAAAAACCAGACUCUGAGUGUGUGUGUGUGUGUGUGUGUGUGUGUGUGUGUGUGUGUGUGUGUGUGUGCGUGCGUGUGCGUGUGUGUGUGUCUGUGUGUGCGUUCAAGUCACAUGACAUAUUUAACCGGAUGUAGCUGCAAGACGGAGCCUCGUUGACUCUCCGUUUCAACUUAUCUCAAAAGUGAGGACCUCAACCUAUAUACCAGUUUUUAAAUUGUGUUGAUAGGCCAAAUAAAACCAGAGUUAUGAUAAAUUAUGUCCGCGAUACUUUUUUUCUUCUUAUUUUGAUCACGUUCGGCGCUCGAUCGCGCUGUAUGAGACAGGAAAACAUAGCAUGCAGACAUUAGCGACAGGUCUUACAGGCGGAAAAGGCUUGCCAAAAGAAAAAAAAAACACACCACAACAUCUCUCCUAUUGGUGGAAAACUUCACCACAACAACCAAUCCAAAAUUAUAUGGUGACUGACUGACAAGGGGCGGGCGCUUACGUUCUUCCUGCAACAUGAGAAGAGAGGGAGGGACUCUCAGCAGGGAUGCAGUCUGGGACACGUAGUUGCAAACCUAGCGACUUUGUUGUUAGAUUCAAUGACUUUUCAGACCCCCUAACGACUUUUUUUUAGAAAGAAAGGGACUUUUAUCGACUUCUUCUGGAGUUUAGAGACUCUGACAUGAAGCAGGCUUUCCUUACUGAGGAGUUAGCAACGCUGCUAAGGGUGCAGAGCCACACAUGCGCUCAGAGCUCUGCAUGGGAGACUGAAGCUGACAGAGCUGCAGCAGUUAGCAGGUUUCACCCUCAGAGACCACCAGGGGUUCAUGUUGAGGCAUUUUAAUUUUUUUUUUUUUUUGUGCCAUAGACACUGUCAGCACAAUCUGCAGUUACACUAACAAAAAUGCUGCAAAAAACAAAGAAUUAUGGAAAAAUUACACAUGGACUGACAUAGAGGAGGAUCUACACAAGUUUUUUACAUCAUGUUUUACAUCAUGCAUCAUUUACAUCAUGUUUUUUUGUAGUGGCAUAAAUAAAAAGUGACAUUUGUGAGACUAUACAGUGUUUUGUAAAUAAUUUUACAAAGAACGCCUGGGCCAUUGCCUGCAUUUUGAUGUAAACAGAGGUAAAUCACUAUGUUCUUUGUUAAAAAUUUGCAUAUGUUUUGAAGUUUACAAUUUUUAUUUGAAGUUUAAGUUUUAAAAACAGUUCAUCACACAUAUUUGUGGUUUAAUUUCACAUUAAUUUCCAUAUUGUAUAAAUGACUGGAAAAAACUUGAGCCCCUGCCCCUGUAUAAUCAUGUGCACGUCCCUGUUCUAGCUCCAAGGUGAAUCUUCACUGCUCAUGUUCUCCUCAGAAAUAGUCACCUCACUCCCCUCAGGUUACUGUACACAUGCACCAACUAUCUGCUUCAGGUUUGAAAUGGAGCUUCAUGGUUGUCUUUUGGAGAAAUGAACAGUCAAGUUGUGUUUGAAAUUUGAUUUUUUUCAGGGGCAAAAGGAAGCCUCUGCAUUCUUGUCAAAUAUGUAAACAGCAUGUUUUUGCAGGUGCUAAAAAACAGACUCUGAGUGUGUGUGUGUGUCUCUGUGUGUGUGUGUGUGUGUGUGUGUGUGUGUAUGUUGGCGUGUGUGUAUAUGUGUGUGUAUCCUGCAGUACUCUGUACUCCUGCAGUGGCCAAAAAGACUUUUAAGAAUGUGGAUUUUUGGGUCAUCUUUGGCGCCCCCUAGAACUGCAGUACUCUGUACUCCUGCAGUGGCCAAAAUGACUUUUAAGAAUGUGGAUUUUUGGGUCAUCUUUGGCGCCCCCUAGAACGUAAACCGUGGGGUGCAGCGUCAUGAUUUUUACAACUUUGAAUGGCCAUGGAGUGUAGAUUGCCCUGAGCAAAUUUGGUAUCGGUGGGACGAAAGCCUUAGGAGGAGAUAGCCACAUUCCAAUGUGUGCGAAUCGGCAAAAAAUGCAAAAUAACCCUUUAACCGUACAUUAUAAAGAUACGCGCUCUUGACUUUUUCGUAGAUCUAAUUGAGAUACACAUGAUUGUCAAUUUUUGUGUCAAUAUGACAAAGCGUUCAGGCGUGACACUCAACAAUGUGUAUUUUCAUGUAAGGGGACAAGAAAAAAUUGACUUUUUCUCCUACCAUGGGGGGCGCUCUUUUGGGGAGUAAAAAUUCCUUCACAAAUGUGUUGAUGGCUGGACAUUGCAUCAUCCUAGAAAACUUGGAGGCCAGUGAGGACAAAAAUAAAAAGUUAUAAAACAUUUAAGAAUGUGGAUUUUUGGGUUAUUUUUGGCGCCCCCUAGAACCUAAACCAUGGGGUGCAGCAUCAUGAUUUGAAUAACUUUUAAUGGCCAUGGGGUGUAGAUUGGCCUGAGCAAAUGUGGUGCCGGUGGAACGAAAGCCUUCGGAGGAGUUAGCGAAAUUCCAAUGUGUGCGUAUCGGCAAAAAAUGCGGAAUAACCCUUUAACUGUACAUUUGACAGAUACGCGCGCAUGGACUUUUUUGUAGAUCUUAUUGAGUUACAUGUGUGUGUCAAUUUUUGUGUCAUUUUGACAAAGCGUAUAGGCGUGACACUCAACAAUGUGUAUUUUCACCUUAGGGGACAAGAAAAAAUGGACUUUUUUCUCCUGCCAUGGGGGGGCGCUCUUUUGGGGAGUAAAAAUUCCUUCACAGAUGUGUUGAUGGCUGGACAUUGCAUCAUCCUAGAAAACUUGGAGGCCAGUGAGGACAAAAAUAAAAAGUUAUAAGACUUUUAAAUAUGUGGAUUUUAGGGUUAUUUUUGGCGCCCCCUAGAACCUAAACCGUGGGGUGCAGCGUCAUGAUUUGAAUAACUUUUAAUGGCCAUGGGGUGUAGAUUGGCCUGAGCAAAUGUGGUGCCGGUGGAACGAAAGCCUUCGGAGGAGUUAGCGAAAUUCCAAUGUGUGCAGAUCUGCAAAAAAUGCAAAAUAACCCAUUAACCGUACAUUUGACAGAUACGCCCGCACUGACUUUUUUGUAGAUCUUAUUGAGAUACAUGUGUGUGUCAAUUUUUGUGUCAUUUUGACAAAGCGUACAGGCGUGACAGUGAAUAGUGUGAGUUUUCACCUUAGGGGGCGCUAUGGAGCCAUUUUGCAUUUUCUUGUUUGGGCGACUUCGGAAUAUCAAAUUUUCCACCAGGCCCGGUCGUCCUGCCAAAUUUCAUGAGUUUUCGCCAGUGGGAAGUGGGCCAUUUUCCAGUUCAAAGGGGAGGAAAAAUAAUAAUAAUAACAAAAGAAGGAAACUACAGGAACAAGAGGGCUCUCGCAGCUGCUUAGCAGCUACGCUCGGGCCCUAAUAAUAACAAAAGAAGGAAACUACAGGAACAAGAGGGCUCUCGCAGCUGCUUAGCAGCUACGCUCGGGCCCUAACUAGGACCCCGUUGGGGCACUGGCGGGCCCGAGCUGUGUCGCCCCCCCCCCCAACGCGCUGCCUCCCCGUCCCAUUUGUGUCCUCUGGCCAUCGCCCUCUCUGGUAACGCCCAUCACUGCAAAGACCCUUUUCCUUCAUCGGCGUUUGCUGUUCUUCCUGCCAGUGCGUGUUGCUUUCACUUACACUUGCCACAGCCAGCCUCGUGAGUGCCUAGCCUAUUGGAUAUCACUGUCACCUACACAGGACAGUCAUUACCUUUCUAUUAAUACUUUGUUUUUUAAUUUCAAAUUAAUUUCCAUAUUGUAUAAACAACUGGAAAAAACUUGAGCCCCUGCCCCUGUAUAAUCAUGUGCACGUCUCUGUUCUAGCUCUAAGGUGAAUCUUCACUGCUCAUGUUCUCCUCAGAAGCAGUCACCUCACUCCCCUCAGGUUACUGUACACAUGCACCAACUGCC